UGGGCAUUGACGUCGAGACAUCUGGUUCUGUUUGGUGGUGUAUUUUGGAUAUUUGACAGUUUUGGGUAAUUUUUGGGUGGUUUUUAAAGGUUGUGAGCAUUUUUUAUUAUUCUGAGAGGUUUUGGCAGUGUUUACAGAUGUUCCUGUCAUAAGACUGCCACAUGUCCGUUUUCAAUAAGAAACCUCAAAUAGUUUUUGAUAUAUGUAUUGGAAAAAAUCGAUUUUUAUUUUGCAACUUUAAAGGGCUGUAACUUUUUUUAUCUACACAUUUGUACUAAGGAAGAAAAAAAAAUGUGAAAAAACCAAUGAAAGCUGAUAGAAAUAUACUUUGAAGAAACUUUCACUUACUUACUUUGGUCAAGGCAAAUGAAUAUACAGAGUUGGGAUAAAGUAUGGAACCACGCAAAUAUCUUUGAAACGAAAAGAACAAUA